GCAUAUAUUAUUUUUCAAAAAUAGGAACUGGGGAGAAGGUUGGGGUUUCAUGUCUUCUGACAGAGCACUUGUCUUUGUGGAUAAACAUGACAAUCAACGAGGACAUGGGGCCGGAGGAGCUUCUAUUCUUACCGUCUGGGACGCUAGGCUGUAUAAAAUGGCAGUUGGAUUUAUGCUUGCUCAUCCUUAUGGAUUUACACGAGUGAUGUCAAGCUACCGUUGGGCAAGAUGUUUUGAAAAUGGACAAGUAA